GAUGAACGCUGGCGGCGUGCCUAAUACAUGCAAGUCGAGCGAACAGAUAAGGAGCUUGCUCCUUUGACGUUAGCGGCGGACGGGUGAGUAACACGUGGGUAACCUACCUAUAAGACUGGAAUAACUCCGGGAAACCGGGGCUAAUGCCGGAUAACAUUUAGAACCGCAUGGUUCUAAAGUGAAAGAUGGUUUUACUAUCACUUAUAGAUGGACCCGCGCCGUAUUAGCUAGUUGGUAAGGUAACGGCUUACCAAGGCAACGAUACGUAGCCGACCUGAGAGGGUGAUCGGCCACACUGGAACUGAGACACGGUCCAGACUCCUACGGGAGGCAGCAGUAGGGAAUCGUCCGCAAUGGGCGAAAGCCUGACGGAGCAACGCCGCGUGAGUGAUGAAGGUCUUCGGAUCGUAAAACUCUGUUAUUAGGGAAGAACAAAUGUGUAAGUAACUGUGCACGUCUUGACGGUACCUAAUCAGAAAGCCACGGCUAACUACGUG
rnacentral:rRNA from 1 species